CUGGUGUCAGCCGCCGCGGUAAUACCAGCACCCCGAGUGGUCGGGACGUUUAUUGGGCCUAAAGCAUCCGUAGCCGGUUCUACAAGUCUUCCGUUAAAUCCACCUGCUUAACAGAUGGGCUGCGGAAGAUACUAUAGAGCUAGGAGGCGGGAGAGGCAAGCGGUACUCGAUGGGUAGGGGUAAAAUCCGUUGAUCCAUUGAAGACCACCAGUGGCGAAGGCGGCUUGCCAGAACGCGCUCGACGGUGAGGGAUGAAAGCUGGGGGAGCAGACCGGAUUAGAUACCCGGGUAGUCCCUGCUGUAAACGAUGCAGACUCGGUGAUGAGUUGGCUUAUUGCUAACUCAGUGCCGCAGGGAAGCCGUUAAGUUUGCCGCCUGGGGAGUACGGUCGCAAGACUGAAACUUAAAG
rnacentral:rRNA from 2 species